AACGAACGCUGGCGGCAUGCCUAACACAUGCAAGUCGAACGAGACCUUCGGGUCUAGUGGCGCACGGGUGCGUAACGCGUGGGAACCUGCCCUUAGGUUCGGAAUAACUCCCCGAAAGGGGUGCUAAUACCGGAUAAUGUCUUGGGACCAAAGAUUUAUCGCCUUUGGAUGGGCCCGCGUUGGAUUAGCUAGUUGGUAGGGUAAAAGCCUACCAAGGCGACGAUCCAUAGCUGGUCUGAGAGGAUGAUCAGCCACACUGGGACUGAGACACGGCCCAGACUCCUACGGGAGGCAGCAGUGGGGAAUAUUGGACAAUGGGCGAAAGCCUGAUCCAGCAAUGCCGCGUGAGUGAUGAAGGCCUUAGGGUUGUAAAGCUCUUUUACCCGGGAUGAUAAUGACAGUACCGGGAGAAUAAGCUCCGGCUAACUCCGUG
rnacentral:rRNA from 1 species